rnacentral:tmRNA from 1 species
GGGGGCGAAAGGAUUUCGACGGGGGAUCCGGUGCACGAUAAGCGAGCAGAGGCGGGGCGCCUCUAUAAAAGCUCCGAUUUUCAAAAUAACUGACACUAAUAAGACAGUUUUAGCCGCUGCUUAAUCGCAGCAGCCGUCAUUCCCGGGAGGACUGCGGCCCGGUGCGUGGCGUCAUGCAGCAGUGAACGUGAGCGGGCACAGGGUUCCGUAACCCGCCACGGCAACGGAGCUGGCCUUACGCGGAGGGUGUUCCUUCCCGCCGCGCGGGGCGAGAUCAAAUAAGGAAAUACGCUCGUAGAAAGUUGUGAGGAAGGUCUUUCGGACAGGGGUUCGACUCCCCUCGCCUCCACCA